rnacentral:rRNA from 1 species
ACUAAACAGGAUUCUCUAGUAACUGGAGUGAAAAGAGAUUAGCCCAGCAUCGAAGCUCCCAUGCUCUUGUGUGGCGUGCAAUGUGAUGUGAAGGUGUGCGAACUCAUAGGCUGACUAACUUGAAGUCCAUUUUGACUGUGGCUUAAAUGUGUAUACCCAGAGAUGGUGAAAGGCCCGUUCAUGUUGGUUUUCAGACUUGACAGCUCUGUGUUUAAUCGUUCACCAUGGAGUCGGAUUGCUUGAAAGUGCAUUCCAAAUUUGGUGGUAAACUCCAUCUAAGGCUAAAUACCUGUACGAGUCCGAUAGUCGACAAGUACCGUGAGGGAAAGUUGAAAAGUACUCUGAAGAGAGAGUAAACAGUACGUGAAACUACUUGGAGGUUAAUCAGAUGGAGUCAAGCUGCGU